GAACCUGUUCCUGCCUCAUCUGUAUAAUUUGACUGCUUUCACAUCUCUGAUUUGGGACCAGCAUACAAGGUGAAAACAAACAACAACCAACAAAACCCUUAUUAUCUCACGUGGAGGACAAAUGUCAAAGGAUACCUAAGAAAACCCUAAUGAAAAGAAAAAAUACAUAGAGGAGAAGAGGUGGCAAAAAGUUCAGAAGAAUGUUACACUCAGUCCUAGUAGGGCACUGAGGGGAUCCAAAGCCAAGC